GUUGUUGCUCAGUGGUUAGAGUACUUGCCUAGCACAUGUGAGGCACUGGGUUCAAUCCCCAGUACCACA
rnacentral:tRNA from 1 species